rnacentral:lncRNA from 1 species
CUACAUUUGGCUGAGCUUCUGCCAUCUUUCUGCUGAGCUGCUUUCUGUCAGUAAGACUCGACACACUGUCAUAACAGCCUUCUUCAGGUGAAGACAAUCAAAAACUCUAAGACUUACAGAUGGUGUGAGGAUAGCACCUGGUGGACCUCUUUCCUGACAUAAUUGGAAGGAUUGCAAGAUCAAGGGAAAAGAAGACCCAUUAAAAGGCUUUGUGGCAAGUGGGAUGAUCUCUCAACACUGGAAAGGAUGCCUGUCCUCUAUUAGCAGAAUGGAGUAGAGGACCUCUAAGAUCCUUUCUAACACUAACUAUGCCUCCACAUCUCAGGUUCAAGGAGAAAAAAAAAAAAGAAGACCUUCACUUCACAUUUGGGGUAAAGGAGAAAACCAUUUGGAUGUUUCUAACUUCGUGAAGUAACUCAUUGGUGGUUUCCCUACACACACAAAUUUUAUUUAUGCUCAAAAUCCUGUUCAAGAACAGAAGGAGUCAAAGAAUCCACAAUAAUUAUCUGCAAUAAUUGAACUCAAAACCCAGUGUUUUAUAAAGCUUCAAAUUUAAAUAACCUAGGAAACAACUCCUUGUUUGAAAAGAAUUACUUGGAAAACUGGAAAGCAAUCUGGCAGAAAUCAAUUUAAGACUAACAGUUUAUACCAUAUCCUACAAUAAACUUAAAAUGGAUAUAUAACUUUAAUAUCA